UACAGAGGUCUCGAGCGUUAGGCGGAAUCACUGGGCUUAAAGCGUGUGUAGGCGGAUCGUUAAGUACCUUGUGAAAUCCCACGGCUUAACCGUGGAACUGCUUGGUAUACUGGCGGUCUUGAGCCAGCUAGGGGCUACCGGAACAAAUAGUGGAGCGGUGAAAUGCGUAGAUAUCAUUUGGAACGCCAAUGGUGAAAACAGGUAGCUGGGGCUGUGCUGACGCUGAGACACGAAAGCCAGGGGAGCAAACGGG
rnacentral:rRNA from 1 species